UUGUAAAGCAAUUAUACUCCAAUAAAGAUGUUAAAAAAAAAAAUAUCUGAUUACAAUGCCAUUGACAAGAAACUUGGAUAGUUCUGUGACAUACAACACUUUAAGAUAAUAACUAGAAUUAUGACUGAUAACAUUACACCAGGACAUAUCAGACUUUCAGGAAUUCCAUAUAACUUCAGGAAUAUCUAUAUUCAUGACAUUUCCCCAUACAAUAUAACCUAAGAAGGUUUAUCUCCGAUUACUUGACAAUGCUUCUAAAGUAAUUUAACAUACCAAAUAAGCCUAAUUAGUUUAACAUUCCUCUCUGAGACGCCUCAGGGUUUCUUCAAGUAUGAAAAGAACUUCAGUUAGAAUUUGGGAAGUUUGUCAAACAUAUCAAAAAGGUUUCAAAGCACUCGGUCAAAUAGGAUCAUAGGUCACGGUAAAACAAUACUCAUUCACUUAACCAAAAUGACAAAAGAUUUCAAAAGCAAAUAUAGAUCA